rnacentral:tRNA from 1 species
AUAUUUUUGAGACAGUCUCCCUAUGUACUCCGGGCUAGCCUUGAACUCACAGUGAUCCGCAUGCCUCAGCCUCCUGAGUGCUGAGAUCACAGGUGUGCGCAACCACGUCUGGCCCGUGUCUUCUUCUAAGCAUACUGUAUUGAUAUUUUAAUCCUUGUUUCCUUUGUUCUUCCGUUCGAAGGCAGUCCCUCCCCACCACGCACACAUCCUUGCCCCUUCAUUCUCUGUGAUCCUGUCUGUGAGGCUUAGUCCUGGUCUCCGCCCAGCCUGCCCAGCAAAUACGCACGGAUCUGCCCCCGACUGCCGCCCUUGCCUCAGAGAUCGAGGAGUCCUCAGGUUCAUGGACUCGCGUUCUUAGGCGCAGCCAGGAAGCACGCAGGGCGCUCAGGAGAGAACCCUCCAAGGGUCUGCCUCUGAGCCUCCCGAGAACCGCGUUGAGGGCCUGGAGCGGGAGCGGAUGCAGUAGGAAAACCUCGUUAUAAACGCACGCGCUCAGACGCGUGCCCCGAGCCCAAGGUCUAGCGCGCGUCACUGCGAGCCAAGCUAACGGAAGGUGGAAAACACCGGUCUACAUUUUGGCCCAUAAAGAGGUUGCAAGAAAGCGUGGAAGACACGAUUACAGAGUGAGACCCUGGAAACCAUCCCAAAAACCGCGACCCGAGCGGCGGGCAGAGCGAGGCCCAGGCCAGGAGUCUUCAAGGCGACGAGCGCUCUGGACACCAAGCAUCUCUCGGUGGAAUGAAAUAAUCAAAGAACUCGGUAUUUCACUCCAAGAAACCUCCCUCAGAGACAGGAACUGCGCAGCCUGGUCGGUGGGGACAGACAGGGUGGCCCGAGGGGUCCCCCUACAGUAACCAGGAAGAACAAAAUGACAUAUAGAGCUAGUCCGUACGGGGAUCGAACCCUCAAUCUUGGCGUUAUUAGUACCACGCUCUAACCCACUGAACUAACCGGCCACCUUAACGAGUCUUUCUACCCUUCAGACCCUGUUGGUUUCCCGUCUCUCGAGCGAGAGAACGCUGCUUCCUCUGCGGAUCUAAGAUCCAGGCCCGGCCCCCUCCUCUGCUACGGUGCUGCUCCUCGAGGCCUGGAACGGUUUGCCCGGUUCCUGGUUGGGAACUCUCGGCAACGACUGACAGGCGGCGCUGGUCUCCACGCUAGACUCGGGCACGCGUGGGCAGAGCGCUCGAAGGUGGUGGCCACUCAUUCCCCGCGGAUCCGAUUCCCUAGAGCAUGGUCUACACUCAUCCCUAAAAUGGAAAGCUCUCCGCGUUCUAUGGAGGUAGCUGAGCUUUUUGUUUUCAAGUCAGGUGAUACUAAUUUCCAGAAUUGUUGCUUUGUAGAGUGCAAAAUCAUGUUCAAAGAGCCCACAACGAUCUGCUGUCUCAGGGCUGGCUCCGUGGCUUAGCUGGUUAAAGCGCCUGUCUAGUAAACAGGAGAUCCUGGGUUCAAAUCCCAGCGGGGCCUGUAGGGUGGUAGUCUGGUGUCCCUUUUGAAAUUCUGUCUGGUGCAACGUGUCAGCCCUGAUGAAAUCUGUCUUGCUGUUUGAGAACAAGGAAUGGAAAAAGAACAGCUUUAGAAAUAGACCCUUUCAGGUGUUUCACUAUUGAAAAGAAAUCAUUUCUGCUACCUCACCAGCUGCAACGCAUUUGGAAUAAAGUUGGCACUUAAUGUUUUUAUCAUGGACCAGCAAAUGGAUAACUGGUGGUUUCUAAUUUUCAUUGCCUUGUACACGUAUACUUCUAUCAAUAGCUUUGAGGAACGAUGCACAGUGCCUAGAAAAAGUUAAAAAGAAAGGACUAGGAUUGGGAAGUUUGAAGUCAGAAAUGAUGUUUUGUAUUUUGCUGUUAGCACAUGUUUUAUCUUCUGUUUCUUUGGACAUUCUAAGGUAUAUCUUCAAAUUAUGUGUCAGACACACAACACUCACUGUACCGUCACAAUGAUGCGUACAAAAUUUUUCAAGCAAUGGAUUGCAUCUCAAACAGCUUCUUGCUCCUUACCAUAAUCGCUCAACAGAUUGCUCAGUCUCUGUUGAGCAUGUGGGAGGUCGGGGCGCUGGAUAUAAUGUAACAUAAUGUAAUGUAAUAGAAUAUAAUGUAGUAACAUCACUCAGCCCCGAACUACUAGGUGAUGAAGGUGCUUUCCUUUAUCAAACAAUUUUCAAACAAAGCCUAGACUUCUACCGUUGUGUCUUUGGUUAAAGGACUUCUCCAUAAUCAAAUACUAUUUCUUUCCCGACUUACAUAUUGUUUAUUCAAACAGAGCCUGGUUUCUCAGGGACCACAUGCCAUUUGGGCUGUGGUCCCCAGGCAGUGAGGUGCUUUUUGUGAUUUAAAGUGGGCCUAGAGUCACCUGAGGCUAGUUAUGUGGUUCUUUCUCCUUCAGGCCCAAGUAUUAAUUCCAAAUAUUGGCACUGGAUAAACUUGGGUGAGAUGAUUUUGAUGUCCCUAAAAAAGUGAACAGUAAGGCACAGCUAUGAGGGAAAAUGUUGAGGAGAGAGAAAUGGUGGUAAUACUUGGAGGUAUUUUCACCUGUGUUCAGGCAAGGAGCCUUAGGUGAGUGAGGUGAACUUGGCAACAAAGCUACAGAAAGCUGCAAACGCUCCCACUCGGCAGGCUGUGGAGGUCUCCCGGCACCUCUGUCCCCGCUCCCUGCCCUGCUUCCUCCUUGGCUCUGAGACUGCGGCCAAAGCUGUCACCCCAUUUGCACACGGGCAUCGCUCAAAGCUGGGCAUCCCCCAUUGCACAGACAGCUCAGUCCACAGUGAACCGUGACCACAUGAGGAAGAUGACAGUCCCAGGACUGGUAAGGAAGGAGUUGAUCCUUCCAGCACCUCUCAGAAUUUCUUCAUCCAGCGUAUGGCCCUUGGCAGCCUGUCUGGAGCUGACACCCUCCCAACCGUGUCUACAUGAAGUCUCUGCCAAGCCUCAAACUCAUAUUUCUGUUUCUGCCAGCGACCCCUGUAGUCAGGUUCCAGUCCCCACCUGCCCAACGUGUGAUGCAGGCCUGAGAAAAAGAAUACACUGAGAGACAGAACUAGGAGAGAGAAAGCGGGCGCCAGGACGACCGGUGCCGGUCGCGACCGACAAAGGCCCUGGCCAGUCCCAGGCACUGACUUUCAUUGGCAAUCAAUUGGGGUAAAGGUGAGCUACGUGCAGUUUCUGUGGAAAUUAAUGUAAACAAGGCUCCUAAAGGACAAGACAAAGCAUCCUCAAAUUAGCAACCGAAUAGACAAAAUGUAUGGCUGUAAUUAGAACACUGUCCUCCUAGUCUGAAGGUUUUAGUUGUGGGAACAGAAUUUGGGUUCGAGUUACUCUGCCCUCGGCAGGACCUUGCAAGGCAGGCAUGGUACCAGGGUCACUUCUACAAACACGUGAAUUGUGAGGCUAGGUCUUCACAGCCUGCCUGGGGCAUGGCCAGUGUUAGGGUCCUCUGCACGCUUGCGCUUGGGUUUCCUGCAGGCAUCCCUACCAAGGCCCACCGCAGACUGAACUCCAACAUUCCGGUCAGAAACUGGGUUGCACUGGUCUCCUCCAUGUCUGCCCCUGGGAUCCUGCAGUCUGCUGGUCUCCCUGCAGCCUGUGUGUGGGCCUCUCCCCAUCCUUCUCUUCUCCCUAUUUGGGCCAUCAGCAUUCAUCACGGCAACCUCACAACAACCUGCUGCUGUUCCUGCCGCCUGCAAGAGUGGGAGUCUCCAUCCACCUCAGAUCCACGGAGGCUGACUUCACCUACAGAACAUCAUUUGUGUGCAUUCCCAUCGCACUUUUACUUCACUUGGGGUUUAUUUAGAAAUGUAGUGUUUAUCCUUCCAAAACCUGAGAAUGUUUUACCUGUCUUUGUGUUAUUGACUUCCACUUUGUGUUGUCAGAAAUCAUAUUUUGUAAUGAUUUUAAUCCUUUAAAAUUUAUCGAGACUUGUGUUAUAGCCCUAUUUUGGUGAAUUCUCCACACACAUUUGAAAAUAAUGUGUAUUCUGCAGCAUUUGGAUGUGAAUAUAAAUGCCACCUAGGUCAGAUUGGUGGUUAAUAGCCAUGCUUCGAGUUUACUAUAUUCCUAGUUGUUUCCUCUUUCGGCUGCUCAUCAGCUAGUCAGAGGUGUCUAAAAUCGCCAACCAUGAUGCUGGUGAUUCUUAUUCUUGGUUUUAAUUUUCUUCAUAUAAGAAUGAAUGUCUUCCUGUGGAAUUGGUCAUUUCAUCAUUAUGUAAUGCUCCUCCUCGUCUGGGGUCUUGCGUUUUGCCUGGACUUCUACUCGGAUAUAUCAAUGUAUCUCUGCCAGCUUUCUCACCAGGGGUGUGCUCUUGGCAUGUCCUUGUCCAUCUCUGCUAUUUUUAGUGUGCCUCUGGAAGAAAAACAGUGGCCCUGUUUCUUUUUAUUUCACUUACUGUCUAGCCUGACAAUCUCUGCCUUUUAAUGGCUUAACACAUUUACGUUGGACACACUUAUUUAUGAUUGGAUUUAAGCCCAGCGGUGUAUCUGUUCUUCCUUGCUUUGUUUGUCCCUGAAGGAACUUACCUGUUUCUUUUGUUCCUUCACCCCUCCUUUGAAUUAAUAUUUAUUAGUCAAUUUUAAUUUUUCACUACCUAAAAUGUAAUAUCUUUCCUCGGCAGUUGCUUUUAAAAUGUUUUUCUUUAUCUUCGGCUUCAACCAUACCGAUGUAGUUUCGAGUAGUUGUAAUUUUCUUUGUGUUUCUCUUAGCUGGUGUUUGCUGAGGGAGUUGAUUCUUCCUUCCCCAUGGGUCCGCACGUGUCAGGUUGUGUAUCUUAAUGCAGGUCAAUCACUGCUGACUGAAGGCUAAUGCCCAACCUCUCCAGUUUCUGCCCAGCCCUGGAGCUCGCAUUUACCGCCCUGACCUCAGGUCUCUGGAUCCUCCACUCCCUUGUUUCCGCUCCAACCCCUCUCCGACCUUCCUCCUUGCAUCCAUCCAGGCUCGGCGCAGUCUCUUUCCUCCCGGAAGGCUUCCUCCUCGGGGACCGGGAGUCUCCAAAGGCGCUCUGCACCCUGGACAACAGCACCACAGGCAUAUUUUUCUGAAGGAAAAAGUAAAUUAGUUUCUCCGCCAUUGACGUCAAAGAAAAUUUAUUUCUAUCAUGAGAGGGAAGCAGACCUGCUAGGUGGUUUCCGUGGUGUAGUGGUUAUCACGUUCGCCUAACACGCGAAAGGUCCCCGGUUCGAAACCGGGCGGAAACACUCUGCCGGAGGUUUUUGCUCCAUCUGAGACUCUCGUGGCGAUGUCCGCGUCCUGUAACCGGACUUGCCUGCGCCUUUUAGGAGUUUGAAGCGGGGACUGUCCCGGCGUCGCGGCACGGAGAUCUGUGUGAUGUCCCCAGACCCGUCCUCGUGGUCCGCACCCCGGGACCUGCUCCUGAAUUACACAAGAGGCCAGCUGGGGUCUGGAAGGGUCCGCCGGCUGACGGGCUGUCUGGCCGAGGGAUGGCUCAGCGCCGGCGGUCGCAGCGGCCCUGAAGUGAGCCGCGGGACGGGCUCGGACCCCACGCCGCGAGUCCAGCCGCGCUCGGGUCGGAGGCCCUGUCACCUCCUCACCCCACUCGGGGACGUGGUCUUUCUCCAGAGCCAGCACCAAGCGAUCGCAGGGUGACAGCCUGGGCCUCAGGAUGGGACCCAAAAUGCAGACGUGCCCAAGGUCAGCUUCACCACUAGCGGCUAAAAACUCACGACCCUCGGAGAGAGAGCGAACCCUCCAGAACCGAUUCAAGGAAGCCGGAUGACGUCCGCAGGGGUGAAGUCGCACUGACCUCAGAGUCGGGGUGUCGGAGCAGGACUGGGGGCAGAAGAGCACGUCUGCACCUCACGCUCCGCAGGAUUUACAUGCCGCAACGCCCAUCACACACAACCGCCUGAAGCGUGCAGGGCGUGAGCUCCCAGCUCCCAGCCUCGGUCUCUGCCGCCUGUGCCCCAGGAUGGAGCUCGGGUCUGGGGUCUGCACCGUCCCCCUCUCCCCAAGAGGCUUUGCAAAUAAGGUCCCUCCUGGCUGGGAAGCCUGGUGCUUCCUUCUUCUGGUUGUCUCUUCUCUCGAUUCUUCUCAGCCAAACUACUCUUUCUUCAGGAAAGGCCUCCUGGCUCCCUACGCGGACCCCUUUGUUCCUUCCCUUGGGACACCGGGUGGGGACUGGAUGAAGUCUGUCCGAAGGUGCCCGGGCUGGCACUGUCUGUGCUCGGUCACCAGCGCACACACUGCACCUUGCACAACACCUCACAUGCAACAGGCCCCCGUGGAUCCUGGUAAACGCAGGUCUAAGCCCUGAGCUGAAGCUCCUCACCGGGUGAGCAGCAGGAAGUGCCCGAGGUCCAGACGGAAGUACUCCUGGCUGUUGUUCUUUAGUACCCUACUGGACUGAUGCUGUUGAAUUCUCAAAUUCCCAAACGUCUUACCUUUGCAAUUCCCAUUUCAUGCAUUUUAAAUUAAUAAUGGGAAAUAAAUCACUAGAACAACAGUAACAGCUGCCAUUUGCUUCUAGCUUGAUUAAAUCAAGUGUUUAGCAAUUUUUCAAACAUAAGCUAACAAAGCAAGCCAGGAGUCAGUGCUGUUGUUGUUCAGUCAUUUAUCUACUGUACCGACUCAGAGGCUGAGCAGUGGAGGCCUCAUGACCUGAACGAGCUGAGAGCUCUCAAGCUAUAGGAUUUGCAGCAAGUACUUGUACUCCCAUGUGUCAGAGCUGAAGGGUCUGCUAGUGCAGUUUUCUGGGACAGAAGGGACAGACACAGGGGUGUGAAGGUGACUUCACAGUGGAGGGAGAGGCAGAG